AGAAUGACGGAAAAUGGCAUACCAGAUGGAGCAGUCGACAGACCUGAUUUCUAAACACACACACAAAACCACCCCAUGCCUUGCUUAUGCAGACGAGCCAGUGCAAGCGCCCCCACGUCAGGAGAAGUCCCCCUCUCCCUCGCCUCCCUCUCCUACCCUGCCAAAAGACGGCCCCAAGAAAGGCAUCAUCAUCAUCAAAACAAUCGAAACCCGGGACGGCAAAGUAAUCUCGGAGAGCACACACACAUCCGAGGAGUAGCUGCGCAGGCCGAUAAAACCCACACACUCGUCCUGAGAAAUGUUUCUACAAUGAGACCGUCAGUGUUAGAUACUCUUUAUCUUUCAGAUAGCUUUCUAGGAUUUCUUUCAGUGUUUUGAAUGGUGUAGCUAUAAAGCUAUAUGGUAUAUUAUGACAGGUCCUCAGAGUUUGUCUUCUUAUGGUUUAUGUCUGGAAAUAAAGAUGCCUCCCGUU